rnacentral:lncRNA from 1 species
GCCUUGCCAACGACAAAACUUGGGUUUUCUCGGCCUACAUAAUAAAUGCAUCUCUAAAGCCGUGAGUUCUUCAUGCUUCUUCCCCGAAUUCUCCAUGAGAUCAAUUUCAAUCUUUAGGGCUUCAAAAUGACAAAUGAUCAAAGUGAGCACCAACAUUAUAUCAAACAUAUCUUCAAACAACGUAUUAGUAAAAGUUAAUACCAUCAUUUGUUCUGAAGUUUUAUAUUAGCCCAG